rnacentral:rRNA from 1 species
UACGAAGGGGGCUAGCGUUGUUCGGAAUUACUGGGCGUAAAGCGCGCGCAGGCGGUCUUCCAAGUCAGUGGUGAAAGCCCGGAGCUCAACUCCGGAACUGCCAUUGAAACUGUGAGUCUUGAGUACGAGAGAGGUGAGUGGAAUUCCCAGUGUAGAGGUGAAAUUCGUAGAUAUUGGGAAGAACACCGGUGGCGAAGGCGGCUCACUGGCUCGUAACUGACGCUCAGGCGCGACAGCGUGGGGAUCAAACAGG